rnacentral:rRNA from 1 species
GAUGAACGCUGGCGGCGUGCCUAAUACAUGCAAGUCGAGCGAACAGACGAGGAGCUUGCUCCUCUGACGUUAGCGGCGGACGGGUGAGUAACACGUGGAUAACCUACCUAUAAGACUGGGAUAACUUCGGGAAACCGGAGCUAAUACCGGAUAAUAUAUUGAACCGCAUGGUUCAAUAGUGAAAGACGGUUUUGCUGUCACUUAUAGAUGGAUCCGCGCCGCAUUAGCUAGUUGGUAAGGUAACGGCUUACCAAGGCGACGAUGCGUAGCCGACCUGAGAGGGUGAUCGGCCACACUGGAACUGAGACACGGUCCAGACUCCUACGGGAGGCAGCAGUAGGGAAUCUUGCGCAAUGGGCGAAAGCCUGACGGAGCAACGCCGCGUGAGUGAUGAAGGUCUUCGGAUCGUAAAACUCUGUUAUUAGGGAAGAACAAAUGUGGAAGUAACUAUGCACGUCUUGACGGUACCUAAUCAGAAAGCCACGGCUAACUACGUG